AUGCCGUCCGUGCGGAGAGCCUCGGACGCCGAGGCGGCGGCCUCGGAAGGAGAGGCGACGGCUGGCUCUCCGGCGAGCAGUGGUCGCGGGUGCUGCUCCGCCCCCUCGGCCGCGCGGGCGGCGUGGUGGCGGCGGUUGUUUGGUGGCUGGUCUUCGCGUGCGGUCUUCUCCGACGGACGGCGCCAGAUCUGCAGAGAUAAUCCAGAGAAUUUAACCAAAGUGUUGGCUGAGGCAGUGAAGUGUGCACAAGCUCUUAAGACCGAUGAUCUGAUUACUGACACUAGAGUUAAGGAAGCUUUUGCAGAGCUGAUGAAUAAAGUGUACCCGCAUCUACCUGAGAGUCUACAGGAUCAACUGAUUGCGGAUUUCAAACUCAAUAUCCUCCGUCGGGCACAAGAGAAAAAUACUCCCCCAGUUGAGUUGAUGGAUUGUGAACAGAAGAAGAACUUCCUCGGGAAAAAAGGAACUCGUACCAAUACCUUGUGGAUUAUAGAAAAGCUAGUCCUGUUAGUCGGCAUAUCCUGCUUCAUGUACCUCAUGAGCCUCUAUGUCACCGAGAACUGA
rnacentral:rRNA from 1 species